AUUGAACGCUGGCGGCAUGCCUUACACAUGCAAGUCGAACGGUAACAGGUCUUCGGAUGCUGACGAGUGGCGAACGGGUGAGUAAUACAUCGGAACGUGCCUAGUAGUGGGGGAUAACUACUCGAAAGAGUGGCUAAUACCGCAUGAGAUCUACGGAUGAAAGCAGGGGAUCGCAAGACCUUGUGCUACUAGAGCGGCCGAUGGCAGAUUCGGUAGUUGGUGGGAUAAAAGCUUACCAAGCCGACGAUCUGUAGCUGGUCUGAGAGGACGAUCAGCCACGCUGGGACUGGGAGACGGCCCAGACUCCUACGGGAGGCAGCAGUGGGGAAUUUUGGACAAUGGGCGCAAGCCUGAUUCAGCAAUGCCGCGUGCAGGAUGAAGGCCUUCGGGUUGUAAACUGCUUUUGUACGGAACGAAAAGCCCUGGGUUAAUACCCUGGGGUCAUGACGGUACCGUAAGAAUAAGCACCGGCUAACUACGUGCCAGCCGCCGCGGUAAAAC
rnacentral:rRNA from 1 species